AUGCUUAGCCUCGUCCACCCCAGCUGUAAAACUCAGAAACCAGUCUUACUUGUUAUCAUCUAUCGUCCACCUGGGCCUUACACAGAGUUUCUCUCUGAUUUCUCAGACUUUUUAUCUGAUUUAGUGCUCAGCUCAGAUAAAAUAAUUAUUGUAGGUGAUUUUAACAUCCAUGUAGAUGCUAAAAACGACAGCCUCAACAUGGCAUUUAAUCUGUUAUUAGACUCAAUUGGCUUCUCUCAAAAUGUAAAAGAACCCACCCACCACUUUAAUCACACUCUAGAUCUUGUUUUAACAUAUGGCAUAGAAACUGAACAUUUAACAGUGUUUCCUGAAAACCCUCUGCUGUCUGAUCAUUUCCUGAUAACAUUUACAUUUACAAUAAUUGAUUACACAGCAGUGGAGAGUAGACUUUAUCACAGUAGAUGUCUUUCUGAAAGUGCUGUAACUAAGUUUAAGAAUAUAAUCCACCCACUGUUAUCAUCUUCAAUGCCCUGUACCAACAUAGAGCAGAGCAGCUAUCUGAACGCUACUCCAACAGAGGUCGAUCAUCUUGUUAAUAAUUUUACCUCCUCACUACGUACGACUCUGGAUACUGUAGCUCCUGUGAAAACUAAGGCCUCAAAUCAGAAGUACCUGACUCCGUGGUAUAAUUCUCAAACACGUAGCCUAAAGCAGAUAACUCGUAAGCUGGAGAGGAAAUGGCAUGUCACAAAUUUAGAGGAUCAUCAUUUAGCCUGGAGAAAUAGUUUGCUGCUUUAUAAGAAAGCCCUCCGCAAAGCCAGAACAUCUUACUAUUCAUCACUGAUUGAAGAAAAUAAGAACAACCCCAGGUUUCUCUUCAGCACUGUAGCCAGGCUGACAAACAGUCAGAGCUCUACUGAGCCAACAAUCCCUUUAACGUUAACUAGUAAUGACUUCAUGAACUUCUUCACAAAUAAAAUUUUUAUCAUUAGAAAAAAAAUUACCAAUAAUCAUCCCAUAGAUGUAAUAUUAUCUACAGCUACUUUUAGUAAGAUUGAUAUUCAUUUACUCUUUUUCUCCAAUUGA
rnacentral:lncRNA from 1 species